GACGAACGCUGGCGGCGUGCUUAACACAUGCAAGUCGAACGAAGAGCGAUGGAAGCUUGCUUCUAUCAAUCUUAGUGGCGAACGGGUGAGUAACGCGUAAUCAACCUGCCCUUCAGAGGGGGACAACAGUUGGAAACGACUGCUAAUACCGCAUACGAUCUAACCUCGGCAUCGAGGAAAGAUGAAAGGUGGCCUCUAUGUAUAAGCUAUCACUGAAGGAGGGGACUGCGUCUGAUUAGCUAGUUGGAGGGGUAACGGCCCACCAAGGCGAUGAUCAGUAGCCGGUCUGAGAGGAUGAACGGCCACAUUGGGACUGAGACACGGCCCAGACUCCUACGGGAGGCAGCAGUGGGGAAUCUUCCGCAAUGGACGAAAGUCUGACGGAGCAACGCCGCGUGAGUGAUGACGGCCUUCGGGUUGUAAAGCUCUGUUAAUCGGGACGAAAGGCCUUCUUGCGAAUAGUUAGAAGGAUAGACG
rnacentral:rRNA from 1 species